ensembl:snRNA U6 U6 spliceosomal RNA
GUGCUCACUCUGGCAGCACAUAUUCUAAAAUUGGAACAAUACAUAGAUUAGCAUGGCCCCUGCACAAGCAUGACACACAAAUUCAUGAGGUGUUCUAUAUUUAA